GUGAUCUGGGCUCUACUCCCUCGGUCUUGCCGAGGGGCUUGUUUAUCCUCAUUAACAUUAAUACAGCAACUGUCUUCCAGGUCACCUUGCUCCGGCAAACAGAGGAAAAGAUAUUUAUGUCGCCAUCCUCCUGGCUUUUCUUCCUAAUAGCUCUCCUACCUAAUAUUUAAGUACAGGCAGGUGCCAUUUAACAGAACACUUGCAAGGAGGUGAGGGGAACAAUCAGCUUUCACCUUGAAACACAGCUCUCAAAAGAGAAAUCAUCGCUAUCACAGCAAACAGGGAGCGCCUGCAAAGACAGCGGCUGACAUGUGAAAUGAAAGCGACUGUGCAGGUUCACGGCGAGCAGGCGACGGGCCAGGUAACUAAGAACCGUUUCCCCCGUCCUAGAUGAGCACAGAGCAAGGAGAACUGAGGUCAACCCGCCUCACACUUAGGCACUGUCCUGUAAGAAAGUCGCGGACCCCUCCGCAAAGACUCGGAACCCCCUCCCAAAGAAAGGAGCUCAGCUAAUGAAUCAACACCACACAUGGAGGAGGCCAGAGGUGUGGAGCAGAAGUGAUACACUGAGGACUCUAGCUUCAACAGGUGAUGACUUCCUCAAACGACGACCCUGCCCCAUGGUGGCCGAGGCGGCGGCCUUCAGAGGAAAACCAUUGCUUGGCCUUCGGCUAGGUUCCUGAGCCACUGCAGCAGGUUCUGGGUUGUGUAGUGAACCAAUACUCUGGAGACAACAAGGCUGCUUUCAAAGGGCUCAUGUCCCUGAGGAAAAUUUGUUUAUAAUGGGGAGAAUACCGCACAUCUGAGAGAAUACAUCUCUACUAUUGGAGGCGACAGCAUUUGCGGUCAUUUAUUCUAGUAGCUCAAAGAAACAACUACAAUGUGCUACAUAAACAAAGUGCCUGGCUUCUGCUGUGGCUGGCGACCAGACGCUGACACCGAAUGCUCCACCUGGGCUACCAGGAAGCUGAUAACUAGACAGUGGAAUGCCAAGUCCAUCUGCAAGCACCAGUGAGCCAUCAGCUCACCAACAAGGAGGCCUCCAUGAAUUUCCAGUCCCUGGGGGAAGCAAGUUCUCAUCCAGAACCCUAGACGUUCACUCUGGGAUGGAGCAGAGACCAUUAGGAACCUCUGCUCAGAAGCAAUCCUCAGAAGGGAGGAACUUACCAAGGUCACAGGCUUGUGUUAUGUAAGUGCUGUGCCACAGAGCUAGGUCUCUGAUCUUGUCUUUUUCUUUUGUGAAACAGGGUCUUUUCUGGGCUGACCCGGGUUCUGUUCCUUGAGUAGUUGUUGCCUUGCUGGCUGACCUUGAUCAGAUGUCCUCCCUAUGCUAAUUCCCUGCCAGUUUCCUUCCUCCUGAACAGCUUCCCAGAGGUUCCUUGUUUGUGUAUCCUGCAUAUUCGGUGUAAACAGCUAGGAGGCAAGUAUGUAAAACAUCUGUAGCGAACUUCUGCCCUCCGGGGUUCUCCCACUGUGCUGUGAGCCUGUAUUUAAGGCCUCUUCUCUCCUUUAAUAAACAGCAUUCUACUGAAAUGAA